AAGGCUUAAAUAUCAAUAUUAAACUUAGCAAAUAUUUACAUACUAAAAAGUGAUGAAAAAAUCAAAUAUAGUCAAAAAUUAGGUGCUCACAGCUGCCCCUCUGUGCUUGAAAACAUGAAGAGUUUUCAGGGAAAGACAAGGUGAGCCAUGUGACUAAUAUUUGACCAAAUCUUUAUUCAAAAGGGAAAAUAAACAAUGGAAAGGGUGCAAUCGAGUCCUGAUUUUGGACAGCCUACAUAUCUUGGGUCAUAAGGGAAUCGGGUCGCGUGUAGUUCAAGGAGAAUGAUGGAAUGAUGAGUUCGAGAGUUUAGUAAGGUUCCGUCGAGGCUCCGGUCUGUGGUCCUGCUAUUACAUUAAAAUCAAAAUCAAAAGAAACUAAACAAGCCUAUCAGUUAUGAGUUACAAGAUUCAUAUUUAUAAGUCUUCUAAAAUUUGAUCUUGAGUCUUGACUGGUUCUUCACGCAGACUCUGUUCUGAACCUUGAUGCUUGCUAGCUGCAGGUGUUAGUUAAUUCUUCUAAGGCUUCUUCCGGUCAAAACGAGAAAUGCAAUGCUCGUGACUUCAGUCACGUCUUGAGCAUUCCACAUCUUUUCAUCUGCCUCUGCAUUUUGGAUUCACUUCUUUUUUAUUUUCUUUUUUUUUCUUUAUUCUGGAUUGAGACUUCUUCUUUUGAUCAUCUCGGACCUUCUUAGACACCAAAACAAACAAACAAACGAAAUUUUUCUGCCCCAGUUUUCACUAGAAAAAUUUUGUGAGUUAUUUGUAACAAAAACUCUAAACUACUUCAUUAUUGAAAGCAAUAAGAAUUUGGGAAUGGUGUACCCUCGGAAAACAUGAUUAUUUGGUAAUGUUGUACCCUAAUUUUCUAAAUAGUGCCUCAAUUAAGGAUUGGUGUACCUUAUGUUAGGGAAAUAUGAUGAGGGAAUGGUGUACCUUAUAUUUAGCAAAGAUAUCAGGGAGUGGUGUACCCUGCAUUUAAGAUAAAAUCAACUAGGGAGUGGUGUACCCUAUGUUGGAAAACACAGCUAGGGAUUGGUGUAUCCUAUACUGGUAAGGAGAUCAUGGAGUGGUGUACCCUGCAUUUAAGCUCACAUCAACUAGGGAGCAGAGACCCUAUGUUGGAAAAGGGAGACUAGGGAGUGGAGACCCUAUGUCUAAAAUAACAUCAACUAGGGAGUGGAGAUCAACUAGGGAGUGGAGACCCUAUGUCUAAAAUAACAUCAACUAGGGAGUGGAGACCCUAUGUCGGAAAAGGAGACUAGGGAGUGAAGACCUUAUGUCUAAAAUAAAUCAACUAGGGAGUAGAGACCCUGUGUUGGAAGAGGAGACUAGGGAGUGGAGACCCUAUGUCUAAAAUAAUAUCAACUAGGGAGUGGAGACCCUAUNNNNNNNNNNNNNNNNNNNNUGCAAUUAGGGAAAGAUGUACCAUAUACUAACAUGCGACUAUGUUUUCCUUUUUCUUUUUAUUUUUUGAGAAAAAUAUUUUUUUUAAAAAAACAAAUUAUCUUAAAGUUUAUUUCCUGAGGGCAUGAACAUUUUUUUUUAUAAGAUCUAGACUUCUUUUUUUUUUUUAAAACAAUUAUCCUAGGAGAAAAUUCAUAAGAUUAGGGAUUUUUUAUAUAUCUUAGGAGAAAGAUUCAUCAGUCUAAGACUUUGUAUCCUAGGAAAAAGUUCGCCAGAUUAGGGCUUUUUAUCUUAUGAGAAAGAUUCAUCGGACUAAGACGUCUAUCCUAGGAGAAAAUUCAUCAGACUAGGGAUUCUUAUCUUAGGAGAAAAUUCAUUAGACUAAGAUUUCUAUCCUAGGACAAAGUUCAUCAGACUAGGCUUUUUUUUUAAUCUUAGGAGAAUGAUUCAUCAGACUAAGAUUUCUAUCCUAGGAGAAAAAUUAUCAGACUAGAUUUUUCUUAUCUUAGGAGAAAGAUUCAUCAAACUAAGACAUCUAUCCUAGGAGAAAAUUCAUCAGACUAGGGAUUCUUAUCUUAGGAGAAAACUCAUCAGACUAAGACGUUUAUCCUAGGAUAAAGAUUCAUCAUACUAGGUUUUUUUUUCUUUGUUAUCUUAGGAGAAAGAUUCAUCAGACUAAGAUUUCUUAUCCUAGGAGAAAAUUCAUUAGACUGGGUUUUAUUUAUCUUAGGAGAAAGACUUAUCAGACUAAGACUUCUAUCCUAGCAGAAAGUUCAUCAGACUAGGUUUUCUUAUCUUAGGAGAAAGAUUCAUCAUACCAAGACUUUGUAUCCUAUGUGAAAAUUCAUCAGACUAGGUUUUGUUUUCUUUUUUAUCUUAGGAGAAAGUUUCAUCAGACUAAGAUUUCUAUCCUAGGAGAAAAUUCAUCAGACCAAGUUUUCUUAUCUUAGGAGAAAUAUUCAUCAGACUAAGACUUUGUAUCCUAGGAGAAAAUUCAUUUAUGAUUUUUAUCCUAGGAGAAAGUUUAUUAGACUAGGGCUUUUUAUCUUAGGAGAAUGAUUUAUCAGACUAAGAUUUUUAUUGGAAGGAAAGAUCCAUCAGACUAGGAUGCAUUACCCUAGGAGAAAAAUGUGAAGAGAAAUGAUAUGAUUUUAUGCAUUUUAGAAAGACAAAAAAAGGUAAAGAUUUGAGAAACUUCCCUUUGUCAGCUCUUCUCUUCUUUUCUUUUUCUUUUUCUUUACUUAAUUUUUUUUCAUUUUUCAACCCCCCCUACCCCCCCCCCCCCUUGUUUUUUUGAACCACUUUUCUUGCACUGCUUUGUUCCUGUUUCAAACAAAGAAAGUUUUUGUGAGUUUCAAAAGGAGGUGGUAAGUUUGUGACCUUGAUGUCUUUGGCAGCUUGGCCUUGUGCCCAUUCGCUUCUGGAAGACCGACUAUAUUGGUAGUUGGCUACACUGCUGGGAGACUCUGUUUUUUCUUUCAAGAGAUUUUUGCUCUUCGUAUCAAACUUGAUUGUUUCACACACAAUACCAUUUUGUGUUUGUGGCUCAAUCAACCUUAUCCCAAAAGGAUAUUUUGCUCUAGUAACCCUUUUUCUGAUUUUUUGAAUGGUUUUUGAUUUUUGAGCAAUUUGGUUGUCGGAGAGAAUCACAAUUGCAUAUGUGCCUUCCACAUGAUGUGCACACUCCAUAGUCUUUGUUUAGUACCACAAGGAACCCGUAAUCAAUCUUACGAUCUUUUCUUUGCUUGCUUUUGACAAGUAGGCCAACAUAAGUAUCUUUUGAGGGAAACUUCGUAUUGCACGAAUCCUCAACACAUGUCGAUUGCAAUAACUGAGUGCAUAUUACUCCCCAGACAGUGUUGUCUUGAAUGUUCCGGCCAGAAUUUGCUUUGUGCAACUGAAAAGCUGGUAGCAGAUUUUGAAAUCCUUUCUUACUUAUUUUAAUGAGGAUCGACUCAAACAAAGGACAUAAUGAUGCGAAGAAACAAUAUAAACAAGAAAUGCCCCUGUCGGAAAGGAACGACGAGCUUUUUGUUUUUGGUAAUUAGCCUUAAUGAUCAUGACAUGCAUUUUGGACUCAACGGCCUGAUCUAUCAAACUGAUCAAAUCUUCCCUUUUACCUUUCUUAUGACCUUUGAAGUCGGGCUUGUUCGUGCCAAUCCUUUGCAUCAGCUUCACGACUCACUUUCGACUAGUGGUGCCCCGAGGAAUUUUUACCAACAAGUCUCUCUCAUUUAUUUAUCUCUACUUACCGUUGUUUUACAGCGCCUGUGAGGGUUUUCACUAGUAAGACUUUCUUUUCUUGUUUUUUCUUUUCUUGAUUCCUUGAAUGAGAACCAUGACCAUGUCCUUCAUAUGACAACCAUUGCUCAUUGCGGAUUUCCCUUGCCAUUCUCAAAACUGAUCAGGAGGUCUUGUUUGGAAGGCUUCUGGAUAUGGUUAGAAAGAAAGGACAGAAUGAAGGCUCAAAGUAGACUCAAUAUGAUGGGUUGUACACUUACAACUCUUGGAAUCGACUCUUUCAAAAACUAAAACAAACUCAUGCCCUAGUUUUAGAUACUGGAUUUUUUUUUUUUUGGUUGGAUUCUUAUUUGGUCGGAUCGAACCGUGUAAGGCUGCCUACGUAUUCUUUUUUUUAAGGAUUCAGGUCAAACAUAGUUCAAGCAUCUGACCUAACUAUUUUUUUCAUCUUUCUUUAUGUUUCUCUGCCUUUUUUUUUCUUUUUUUUCCAAAACAAAUUGCCCCAGCUUUUAUUUUCUGGGGGUAUGGACCUUUGACUGAUCUUUUUUUUCACUUGAACUUUCUAAGAGUUUCCCUAGUUUAUACUCUUGGGGCAUGGUCUUUUCUUUUCUUUCUUUAUUUUUUGACUUAACUCGAAACUUGAUUCCAAAAGAGGGUGGUCAAAGAAAAUAACUCAAGCUCAAAAGGGGUAAGGAAGGGUAUAAAGUGUUUGGAUAGCAGAAAAAUGGCCUCCCAGCCUCGAGAACGCCAAACAUAGUAACUUUUGGCGAUCACCGGAUUGAAUGAACAUGUCUGUCUCUUAGUGUAUCAUGGUCGAAAGACAGUUUCCAUGCAUUAAUGUCAAACUUUCCACCAUCAAUUGAUUCUUCCUCAAACCCGAUCUUCACAAUGAUUUGAAGGUAAAGAUCGUUAACCUCCACGAGUAUGACUAUUCUAGUUCCACAUGAAUUUUGUUCGAGCUUAAUUCCAAGGUGUUUCGACUCUUUAUUAAUCAUCAAAAAUGUCUUUUUCUCAGUUAUCCAAUUCAACACUAGAUCAAUUUUAUAAAAGCCGGUCGAAAAUUCCAUACGCAUGUCAUGUCACUAAAACUAGCGGCGAAAGAAUUAAGCAUAGAAUGACACAAAGAGACAGGAUAACACAAAGGGACAAACUGUAUUUCAUUAAAUAAAGGAUGGAAGGAUUUGACAAUAAGACAAAUAAACUGAAAUCGGGUUUACAGCCCUGGAUAACCUAGAUAACAGAAAAUAUGGCAAAACAAGCUACCAAGACUCCUCUAUGUCUAAAAGAGGAGUGACUUUCCAGUUGCUAGGCGACAUCUUAGCCACAAAUUUGCAUAUCAGCACUACUACGGCAUUCAGUCUUUUUUAUUGCUUUUUAUUCAACACUCAAAUUUUGACUUUUUGAUCAAAUCGUUCCCAAUAUUGACUAUCGGAUUUCAGGACUGACGACAUGGGAGAUUUCAUAGCAACUAAUUUCCCAAAGGACUUGAAAGAUUUUCAUGUCUCUCCAUCAUCAAAUCAUCCCGAGCAGCGCAUAUCCUAUUGCUUAAACCUGGUAAAGUCAACCAACAUUUGCCUCCCUUUUUGAUUUUUCACGACCAACUUGCCUAGUUUCCUUUUCGUGACCUUGGAUCAAACAGUGGUGCUUGUUCCAUUAGUUGAGAAGAUAUUUUUAUUUCUGAGGAACCUUGGAUUGUUUUUGUGACUCGCCAUUGCAAACCAACAAACCGACCACCUUUAACCAGGUUUUAUUUCAAAACAACAAACAUGUUAGAAUGAACACUCUUUCUUUUUCCUUUUCUCUUUUCUUUUUUUUUUCUUUCUUUCUUUUCUCUCUUUUUUUUGUUUUUUUUUUUAACCAUUCAAUCGAACCUGCUAUGGGUUGCCUACGUAUCAUGCAGGAACAUGAAUCAGAUCUUGCGUAGUUCAGAAAGAUCAGAAAUAAAGUAAAUAAAUUAACCCUUUUUUGAAUUUUGAAUUUUAUUUAUAAUUUCCGAAAGAAAGACUUAUAAAGAAGAAAGAAAAUAUUUUUGAAUUUUGAUUUUUUUUUAUUUUUUAGUUUUUUGAGAAUUUUUUAAAAGAAAGACUUUUAAAUAAGAAAGAAAAUAUUUUUGUUUUAUUUUUUUUGAAUUUUGAUUUGUUUUCUUUUUUUGGAAUUUUGAAAGAAAAACUUCUAAAAAAGAAAGAAAAUAUUUUUAAAUUUUUGAACUUUUAUUUUGAAUUUAUGAAAGAAAAACUUCUAAAGAAAAAAGAAAAUAUUUUUGAAUCUUGAAUUUUCUUCUCAAUUUUCGAAACAAAAUCAGCAACACAGACACUGAAAUGCCAAAUAAAGGCAGAGUGAAGACGAGAAGAAUUCAGCAAUGCAUAAUCAGCAACACAUCUUCAAUUUAGGUCCAAAAUCGACUCAAAGCAACCAGAUAUUAUUGAAACAAAGGAGUAGAAAUCAGUCCAGCCUUUGAAAUUCCCUUUUCUACACUUUUCCCCUUUUUGAUAUUUUUGUUAUCCUAAAUCUCAGAUCUCAGUUAAUAUUUUUUAAAUUUUUAAAGUUUUUACUCAUAGCUUUGAAUAUGAAGAGCUUUCAAGUCCGUGAAGUGUGUGAGUGAAUGAGAGGAGUGAGAAUUUUUGUGUGAGCGAGAUGAGAGAGAAUGUGUGAGUAAGAAUGAAUGAACAAUCUAUCAAUGUGUAUUAUGUUAUAUAGAAAAUGCAGAGAAUCUUUUCAGUUAUUUCCUUUCUCUUUCAUCCCUCUUCUUUUGUUAUUUUCCCCUUUACCCCCGACCCCUUCCCUCUUUUGUUUGCUAAACAUGUCCUUUUUAAAUUAUUCCUUUUCCUCUAACCCUUCUGCCCCUUUGUUCCUAAACUCGAAUCCAAUGGGCCUGCCUUAUAGGGAGACGCAAAUUUCUUAAUACCCAAUAAUCAACAAAACAUUAUCAAUCAAUUUCAAAUUCCGAUUAAACAACAAUUACUACAGCGAUUAAAACAAAUUGGAAUAUGCAAUCACGUAAUUUGGCUAAUGAUCAAUGUAAUCAAACAGUUCCUCUUUACUUUUCAAACUAUGCCUACUAAUAAUUAAACUAACACAUUAACACCUAAAACCACGACAUCUGUGAAUAAUAAUGAAGAAACAAAAUUAAGGAAAAGAAACUUACAGUCGAUAAGACCCAAAAGCCAAGGAGAUGAUUCAAAACACCGGCGUUUCAAUGUUUAACGGUAACGAUCUUUGUCUAAUGAACAUUGAUCUGGACCCUUGAUGUCCGAUAAGUGUUUCAUUGGACAAAGCCCGUUGAGGUUCAACGGAGUUUGACAGAUACAAAAGAUUCCGACGGCCUAGAAACAGAUCGAAUACUAAUACCAAAUUGGAAUACACAACAAGGAGGGUUAAUUGGUGCACGUUUCGACCUCGAGCAAGCUGAGAUUUAGGAGAAAACAAGAAGGGGAUGGAUUAGAUUUUUGGUUUGGUUCUUAGAUCUAAAAAUCAUGAAACUAUGAGGACCUUAAGAAAAAUCCAAUGGAAGAUUAAGAGAGAGAGGGAGAUGGAGAUCACGUGUCGAAAAUUUUGGGAUGUUUGGAAGUCGGCCGCCGCCGUGGGCGAUUUUCAGCGGCGGCGUUGGACAGAGAAACAGUGGUGAGAGAAGAGGGUGUUCUGAGAGGCUUUUGGGGGUAGGGACUUGGUUCGUACAGUUAUAUGGGGAAGAAGAGUUAGUUCCCAGUCGUUCGAUCAAGAAGAAUGAAUGGCCGAGAUUACGCACGCCAAAAACGACGUCGUUUGGUAGUCUCUUGGAGACGAGGCGAAGGGAUCGGGUCUGGAGUGAUUUGGGCAAAGGUUUGGGCCUGAAACAAUGGCCCAGUCCGGUUUUUUAACCCACCAAUUCCCAUUUCCCUCUUUGUUUUGAUUUUCAAC
rnacentral:lncRNA from 1 species